rnacentral:lncRNA from 1 species
CGAGAGCUGUACUUUGGGGUCUUGGAAGCAACCCCCCCACCCUCGGCAGGAGGAGCUGUUUCCUGAGAUGGCGAAGGGCGUGGAGCCCUGGGAGCCACGUUGCAGCGCUGCCGCUUUCCACGUGGCCUCUUCUCUUGGCAGCGCACGCACUGAAACUGGAAUGACAGAGGCAUGAGCAUGGCCCCUGUGCAAGGAUGACGUGCAAACGUGUGAGUCGGCGUUUCCAGAAGAGUGAUGUUCAGACAAGGAGAUGCAAGCACUGGGGCCACGAAGUCUUCUCGUGGAAGCAUCCGACGCUCUGAAGACCCCUUCGGCCGGUUUUCUCCGGCGCAGAGGCCUCACUCCUGACCUCACCCCCACCUCCUUUUAGGGCCACACCCACAGCAUAUAAACAUGCCUGGGCUAGGGGCCGAAUCGGAGCUUUAGCUGUCUGCUGACACCACAGCCACAGCCACACAGGAUUCACGCCGAGUCUGUGACCUACAG